rnacentral:rRNA from 1 species
CAACUCUUAGCGGUGGAUCACUCGGCUCGUGUGUCGAUGAAGGACGCAUCUAAGGGCGAGAACUAAUGUGAAUUGCAGGACACAUUGAUCAUCGACACUUCCCCACGGAAUUUUGCGGCCCCGGGUUCCUCCCGGGGCCACGCCUGUCUGAGGGUCGCU